GACAGAGGCCUCGAGCGUUAGGCGGAAUCACUGGGCUUAAAGCGUGUGUAGGCGGUUCGUUAAGUACCUUGUGAAAUCCCACGGCUCAACCGUGGAACGGCUGGGUAUACUGGCGGUCUUGGGCCAUUCAGGGGCGACUGGAACAAGCGGUGGAGCGGUGAAAUGCGUAGAUAUCGCUUGGAACGCCGAAGGUGAAAACAGGUCGCUGGGGAUGUGCUGACGCUGAGACACGAAAGCCAGGGGAGCAAACGGG
rnacentral:rRNA from 1 species